AUUGAACGCUGGCGGCAUGCCUUACACAUGCAAGUCGAACGGUAACGGGCCUUCGGGUGCCGACGAGUGGCGAACGGGUGAGUAAUACAUCGGAACGUGCCCGGUCGUGGGGGAUAACGAGGCGAAAGCUUUGCUAAUACCGCAUACGAUCUACGGAUGAAAGCAGGGGACCGCAAGGCCUUGCGCGGACGGAGCGGCCGAUGGCAGAUUAGGUAGUUGGUGGGAUAAAAGCUUACCAAGCCGACGAUCUGUAGCUGGUCUGAGAGGAUGAUCAGCCACACUGGGACUGAGACACGGCCCAGACUCCUACGGGAGGCAGCAGUGGGGAAUUUUGGACAAUGGGCGCAAGCCUGAUCCAGCCAUGCCGCGUGCAGGAUGAAGGCCUUCGGGUUGUAAACUGCUUUUGUACGGAACGAAAAGCCUUCUUUUAAUACAGGAGGGUCAUGACGGUACCGUAAGAAUAAGCACCGGCUAACUACGUG
rnacentral:rRNA from 1 species